UUUUUUUGGUUGCUACUUAGAAACUGUUAUUUUUAGAUUUAAGUAAUGCUGUCAUUGUGAAACAACAACAGAUUGCCAUUGCUCCUUAUGGUGGAUAUUAAGAACAAGUGUAUUAUCUUGGUUAUUACUGUAUGGUAGCUGCUCACAAAUACAGCAACCAAUUCCUUGGAAGUUUUAAGUACCUCUUCUUUUGGUUCAUUUCUUGCAUGAGGCACUAUUAUUCUAUCAGAAGAGGAUGAAAUGUGAUUGUCCCACAUUCUUCCUCUUCCCUCUUGCCAAGUUCAUUUGAACUUCAGGGGAAAAAAUCCAUCACCUGUAUUAUUUUAUGGAACGAAACAGCUGAAUACAGUAUAAAAUGGAGCACUAAGUGUACAGUAGUUGUGUUCCUUCAAUUCUGUUUCAGGCGAUAGGAAAGUGAAAUCGAAUAGCUGUGAUACUGUUUGUAUGGUAACAUUCAUGGUGAAGUAGAAGGAGUUAAAGUUUCAUGCAUAUCAUAUGAAAAACAAGCCACAGAAGCUGUUCUGCUUAAGUGUCAUGCAAGUGCUUUUGUCACUUUAAAAAAUAGGUCAUCUACUUCCUUCUCAUAAGUAUUUGACUUAGAGAUUCAUGGAUAGCAGGGAAUUUCAGAAGUAAUGCAUAAUGCAGUUUACUAGUUGAUGUCUAAAUAUGUACUGGGAUCUUAUCUGCUGAGCAGCUCUCAGUGGGACUGAAUGAACGGGCUGCCUUGUUUGCAGGAAUUUGGAGAGUUCUUGGUCAGAGACCACUUCGGGUUUUUUUCUUCCCUUGUUUUUACCUCUGUCAAAGAGUUUACUGAGGUACAUUUAUAAAUCCCAUAUUGCUGUAAAUAUUGCAGUUUAAAAUUGUGUGAAUGCUCUCGAAGCCAUGAAAAGUUUUCCCUUUGUUUUCAUGUCAGUUAUUUUCAUUUACUUUGGUCUGUUUACAAAUUGUUAUAAUUUCAUGCUGUUGAUGCUCUCAGUAUUGCAAACUCAGCUGGGACCUGCAGGUCAAACAGGUUUUUCUGUUCUUUACCUUUUAGCAGCGCACUGAGGCUUUUUGAUAGAGUACAGCUGACAAGUUUGGCUUCGUGGACUCUUGUUGGGUUGGCCUUGCUGUGGUGUUUCCUUUGGCUUUGCAAUUCCAGCAGCAUGAAAGCAGUCAUUUGGUUACAGUUUUAGAUGCAACAUAGAUACAGAGGAUCUAAUCUUUAAGAUUGCAUAUAUAAUUGUGUAGGGCACUGAGACCAAAGGAAACCAUAGAAACAGGCUGUGCUGCCACUGUUACCCUUGAUGACAGGAAAACGGGAAUGGAAAACGGUUUUCAGCCAAAUCCCUUAGCCAGGAUACAAGGCAAUCGGGAACAGCUGGGGCUGUGUAUGUGUGUACCGCGAGUUGUAGCGAGUGUCUGGCAGUGACUCCAGCACCUCACCCCUGUGACUCGCACAUAUGCUCUCCAUUCUGCUGUCUGUUAACCUGGCUGUAAAUCAGGCUCAAGGAGUGCCAAUUGCAGGGUUUGGGCCUGUGCUCUGAGCCUCGGUGUGCUUGGCAGCUCCUGCCCUGCUUGGACUAAAUACAGCCCCAUGCUCUGCUCUGGGCUUCAGGCAGCGGCAGAACUGUGCCGGGGCACAGGCCGUAGGUAAAUGCUGGUGAUAAGGGAGCAGAGUUGGUUUGUUUUGAAUCUCUCCAUGACUAAUAGUGUACACUCAGCUAUGAUGUUCCCACCUGCCUGGGUUUAUGCAGGGAGCACAAUGGGGGAAGCUGCUGUGUACUUCUCUUGAGUGUGUGGCAUGCACGGAGAUGGGGUGGAGCAGUCUGCUCUUGUUCCACCCAGAGGAGAGAAGGCCAAGGGUAAUUGACUUGUGGUCUUCAACUCCCUAAUGGGUGGGUGAAGGGGACAUACAGCCAAGCUCCUCUCACAGGGGCAUGAGGCAACAGUCAGGAGGGGUAGCAAGGGAAAUUCAUGCUGGUCAUAAGGAAAAAUGAAAGCCCAAUGAGAGUGCCUGAACCCUGGAGGAGGGUGGCAGAGAGCCUGUGAAAUCUCCAGCUUCUGAGAUUUUCAAAAUUUAAUAGGACAAGUUGCUCCAGCAUUUGCCAAACUUUGAAGAGUGGACCUGCUUUCAGCUGGACCUCUGGGCAGCUUGUCCAAAAUUUUCUGUGGGUAUUUGAAACCAUCCUUAAGCGUGACUGCAGAGCUUCUGCUGUGCUGCUACGGAGAUCUAUGGGCAGAUUGUUUUGUGUGGCCAUUUACCAACUAGUGUUUCUGGAUGUGUUUUGAUGGCUCAUUCCUGACUUGGAAAAUUGGAGAAAAGCUAUUGUCAGCUGCACGUAUGAACACUUGUAAGCUUUCAUGCACCAGACCUUAGGGAGAAACAGGGUUUAUGUACCACAAACGUGUUGAACAGUUGCCUAAAGAUGCAGACCUCUCCUGUGGGUUAUGUUUGUGCAGCUGCAGAGCCCCCCCUUGACUGGGACAGAGAGUUUGAUAUGAAAAUCUGACUUCUCUAUCACUACUGGGACUUCAAUAAGUGCUAAGCAUCCUUCACCCAUGAGUGAAAUCAGUGUGAACUGCAGAGUGUUUUAUCUCUCUGAAACAGGGCAUAUAUUUAUGUGCUUUCAUAUGGAAUUAGAUGUAAACAUUUUAGCAUCUUUAUUCUAAUAGCCAUGGGUUUUCAUGGUACAAAGCUAAGAUAACAAGCAUUUCACACACUGCCUUAAUGUGUUGUCGGCAAGAGAAUAACCAAAGCUGUUCUAGCACCUUCUUUAAGGCUUCUGUCCUCAUGCACCAUGAGACCUUUAGUAAAAAGCAUUAGUGUUUCAGUUUGCUGACAUUUAUUGUCAUUAUUUAAGAUCGUCACACUGUCUGUACCAGCUCAGACUGAAUAUCUGUGGCUCAGUAACGUUUCCAGCUGUGCCUAUCAUCCUGACCUGGGAACUAACAAUGACAGUGCCUGUGUCCAUCUUGGUCUUGGAUGUUUUUCAAGAUGGUACUAAGGGAUACAUCACCUGAGAUGAUGAAUUUUAGCUCAUUUUUGGUAGUGUGGCCUAAAUUUAAUUGAAUGCAGAAAGCCAGCUUAACAGACUUCUAUUUAUAUCUUAGUAGAGCUUCAUGUCUUAAGAGAACUACCCAAUGACACUGCUGUAGAUUUGAUUUUGUCUGUAUUAUUAACAGGAUUUGACCUGAGGCUAAAACCUAGGUUGUACUGAGAACCCUUAACUCCUAUUAUUUCUAAACUUUGGGGUUAAAUAAUCUUUCUGGGCUGAAGUGAUAUGCUACAUUUUGAUAAAACCUGCUGAAGCGAUAGGCUCAUGUUUUUCAUUUCUUUCCACAGAUCUAUAAUUUUAACUUGCGAUAUGCCUGUGCUUUCUUCCAAGGUCAAAGCUGAUUUUCCAUGGGAACAACACAGGCUGUGUCCUGUGAAGUAUACGAGACUGACGUUAGGGUAGUGCUGCCAGCUCUGAAGAAAUGCUUGGCUGGGCUUUCUGCAUCUUGUCUCUGAAGCACAUAAGGUCUACAUGGAUCUAGAAGCGUGCCAUAGUCAUGCCUAUUUUAGAAAGUGGCAAACAGCACGAGCUGCAAAUUUAAGUUGGCAGAAGAAGCCUGGCUGUUAAGCUAAAGCUGUCAGAAACUGCCAUAAUGUUGGUUGGAUACUCGAUUUACCUGUUCUGUUAAGAAUUAGAAAGGCAGCUUCUCAGAGCCUUUCUAAAUACAAAGAUAUUUAAUAUUUUUUGAAAUAUAUAGAAAUUCUAUAUAUUGGAGACAGUCCCAGCUUCCAUUCUAGCAAUUUGGAUAUCAUACAUGUAUUUCUUAAGGUCAGUAAUUAUUUAUUUAUUAGAGCGAUGGAUGCUUUCAGUAUAGCUUUUUGCACUGUGGGCAUCAAAAUGCAAUAAGAUUUCAGUUCUGAAUUUCAUCUUUAAUUCUGGUUACUUAUUUAAGCUAUUUUUGAGACGUUGUCUAGGUUAUAGGUCAAAUUCAGUUGCUAAGUCAUCUGAUCCUCUACUACUUCUCUAUAUAAGCGGUUGUUUUCACUCACAUAUGCCAAUACUGAGUUGUUUGCAAAAGCAGAGCUGUCUUCCCUCAAGACAAUAAAAGAAUCUGUUUUCUGUAAGUGAACCUGUGAAUCUGUUUUAAGGAGUUGCACAUCCAAGUGUUGCUUACAAAGACUUUAGCAGUGGGUAAACAGCAAAUCUUGACAUGUUUAAGUGAGAUUCCUACUCUUAGCUUGUCUUGUGGCUCUGUGCUGUGGAUCUGGAAGGCAGACCGUGGAAGGCAAAGGACUGAAGUUUAAAUAGCCCCUGUGAAUUUUCUAGGGAAAUUGUUGUAACUGUGCUGUGGGGAAAAAAGAUACUGAAUGGAAAUUAUUUUCACUGCGUUGGCAUUAUGGCACCGUGAAGAAUUAACAGUUACCAAAGAACCUGUAUUGGUCCCAGGCUACUUGGCAUUUCACCUUGACAGCUGUGUAUAGCACUGGAGCAGUGGGGAGGGAGGACUUUGGAUGGGCAGUAAGAGCUGCGCAUCCGUAAGAGCCACAGUACUGACUCUUAAAUGAGUCCCCCUACAUGUUCCACUCCUUUCUGCCUCUGGGCUGCAAUCCCUUCUGCUGCUUCCAGGAUGCCCCUUGCAUCUCACUGACAGUUUUAAAAUCUCUUUCUAUCAGUUUAUUUCAGCUUUUUGUUGCAUACUUCUGUGUAAGCAUCCUGAAAUUAUAUGCCCUAAAGAAAGCAUUAAUGCAAUAAAAAAUUGGAAAACUUUUAAAUGGAAAUAAUGUAAUUAGUAGGGUAAUUGCUGUUAUUUUAAUAUUCCAUGUAUUUUUUUUGGAUUGCAGUUUAUAUUGUUUGUAAACUAUUGGGAGGUGAUGUUGUCUCUGGCUUUGUAUCAUAUAUAAAGAGCUGUAGGAUUUUUAGUCUCAAACUAAAAGAUAACAUCUUCUCUUUAAGAAAAUUCUGCCAUAUUUUGCAGGAACCCCUUCCUUUUUGAUAGGAUGUAUCGCUUUACAUUUAUAUUCUCUGAUGUCAGGGUUUCUUUUGAUAGAAUUUCAUUAUGGUACUGUUGAUGCUGCAUAUUUUUAUAAAUAUAUUUAGCUUUUUAAUAGUAUUUUUGAUCAAUUGACUGCAAAGCUCUCACAAGAGAAGGGGAUUUGCGUGUGCACACAGGAGAACUGAGAAGAGAUUUGAGACUUGUAUUUGAUAGGAUUAGUCAAGAGGACAAGAAUCUGAAAUACCAAAGUCUGAAUUAAAUGUUCCUUCAGUUAGGUCACUCUGACUUUACAUGUGUAAGACUUAAUACAUUUUGGGUUAUUUUUGGCAUUGGCAUGGGUGGCUGACAUUUGUCGGUAAAUGUAAGAAAGGAAAACAAAAGGUUAAUUUGUUUCCCAUCUUUCACUAAGUUUUGAAAAAUAAUAUCUGGUCCUCAGCUUGUCCAGCAGCUCAAGGAGAGGAGGAGGGAGGGAAGAGUUGGGCUUGUGAAAACCAAUUGCAAUAAAGCCAGUUGCCUGCUGCUAACUCCAUGUCCCUGGCAGCCUAAAUAUUCCUGCCCUUGAUUUUUGUUUCUCUGGAUCAUGUCAACAAGGAGAUUUCAUUUAAAAAAAAAAAUCAAGAUUGCAGCUGAUGUCACCCAUCAGAUAAGAUUGCACAUGUAAAAUACUUAAACAAAGAAUAAAAAGCACUAGAACUUAA